rfam:Citrus sinensis cultivar Ridge Pineapple sweet orange scaffold00056_contig_94, whole genome shotgun sequence.
UAAUGGCUUAGUUAGGAGGCAGAGAUCAAAAGAUCAUAUUAUUGGUCUUCUCAGGUUUGCUCAGAGGACAAUUUGAUUCUUUUAUUGAUUGUCCUUCAAGUGGCUUCAGACAUUU